rnacentral:rRNA from 1 species
GAGAGUUAAACAGUACGUGAAAUUGUUGAAAGGGAAACGAUUGAAGUCAGUCAUACCAACGGGAAAUCAACCUUUUGAGCUCGGUCUCGUGGGUUUUGAAGAGUUUCAAAGCCUUCGGAUUCGCGGGAUUGGGAUCUCUUGGCGUACUUUUUCGUACGGUUAGUCAACAUCGGUUUUGAAUGUCAUAAAAUGACUGGAGGAAUGUAGCUUCGAUCUCGUAUUGAAGUGUUAUAGCCUUUGGUAGAUGUGAUGUUUGAGACCGAGGAUUGCAACGGAUACCCUUCAGGGCUAUUCGUCUGAUCUCUGAUACGUUGCCUUGAUGUUGAAAGCUUGCUUAUGAUGUUAGGGUAUUACGGUCAAAAGGUUAGAACGAAUUACAUUCGUUAAGGAUAUUGACGUAAUGACUUUAAACGA